rnacentral:rRNA from 1 species
CUACGGGGCGCACCAGUGGGGAAUAUUGCACAAUGGAGGAAACUCUGAUGCAGCAACGCCGCGUGGAGGAUGACGCAUUUCGGUGUGUAAACUCCUUUUAUAUGUCAAGAAAAUGACGGUAGCAUAUGAAUAAGCUCCGGCUAACUCCGUGCCAGCAGCCGCGGUAAUACGGAGGGAGCAAGCGUUACUCGGAAUCACUGGGCGUAAAGGACGCGUAGGCGGGUUGGAAAGUCAGGUGUGAAAUCCUACAGCUUAACUGUAGAACUGCACUUGAAGCUUCUAAUCUAGAGUAUGGGAGGGGGAGAUGGAAUUAGUGGUGUAGGGGUAAAAUCCGUAGAUAUCACUAGGAAUACCUAAAGCGAAGGCGAUCUCCUGGAACAUUACUGACGCUAAGGCGUGAAAGCGUGGGGAGCAAACAGGAUUAGAUACCCGAGUAGUC